CCUACGGGAGGCAGCAGUGAGGAAUAUUGGUCAAUGGGCGCGAGCCUGAACCAGCCAAGUCGCGUGAAGGAUGACUGCCCUACGGGUUGUAAACUUCUUUUAUAAAGGAAUAAAGUGAGGCACGUGUGCCUUUUUGUAUGUACUUUAUGAAUAAGGAACGGCUAACUCCGUGCCAGCAGCCGCGGUAAUACGGAGGAUUCGCGCGUUAUCCGGAUUUAUUGGGGUUAAAGGGAGCGUAGAUGGGUUGUUAAGUCAGUUGUGAAAGUUUGCGGCUCAACCGGAAAAUUGCAAUUGAUACUGGCAGCCUUGAGUACAGUUGAGGUAGGCGGAAUUCGUGGUGUAGCGGUGAAAUGCUUAGAUAUCACGAAGAACUCCGAUUGCGAAGGCAGCUUACUAGACUGCCACUGACAUUGAUGCUCGAAAGUGUGGGUAUCAAACAGGAUUAGAUACCCUAGUAGUC
rnacentral:rRNA from 1 species